rnacentral:snoRNA from 1 species
UGGCCUGAAAUGACAUUCUGAGUUCAUGUUCUCUUCUCUGAGAUGUCUCCUGGAGAUAGAUGCAUUUCUGAUCAGGCUU